CGCGCGGUUCUAUUUUGUUGGUCGUGGGACCGCCGUAAUGAUUGAUAGGGACUGUCGGGGGCAUCGGUAUUCGGCUGUCAGAGGUGAAAUUCUUGGAUUUGCCGAAGACCAACCGCUGCGAAAGCAUUUGCCAAGGAUGUUUUCAUUAAUCAGGAACGAAAGUUAGGGGAUCGAAGACGAUCAGAUACCGUCGUAGUCUUAACCGUAAACCGUGCCGACUAGGGAUCGGGCGGUGCUGCUUCAUCUGGCCCGCUCGGCACCUUUCGAGAAAUCAAAGUCUGUGGGUUCCUGGGGGAGUAUGGUGGCAACGCUGAAACUUAAAGAAAUUGACGGAAGGGCACCACCAGGGGUGGAGCCUGCGGCUUAAUUUGACUCAACACGGGGAAACUC
rnacentral:rRNA from 1 species